AGUUCAUAGAAUUGCUUGUUCAAGUUUCCCCAUCCUAUGUAAUCUCAGACCAAGAUUCUUCAAAGUGAAGCUCCUGAAGCCAUGCCAGCAGGCCCUGUUUCAUAGUUUUAUGAACACUUCUGAUCUUCAUAAGUGCUGAAUUCAGAAAUUCUACCAGAACAAAAGUAGGAGGGAUAAAGAGGACCAAAAGAACUCCAUUGCCACCUUCUCGUUUUGUAUUGCACUUCAAAAUCUUUGCACAUCAUACUACUCUUCAUCCUGCAAGUACCUCAUGAGAAUGAUAAUGGUGCAGCUUCUGAAGCACAAAGGAGUGUCUUUUAGCAACAUCAGCAAUCCAGUGAAGGACUUGCUGAAGGAAACUGCUUCAAAUCCUGGAUUCAUGCAAAUUAGGAAGUUUGAACAAGGAAAAUACCUACAGUAUCAGGUUUGAAUCCUAAGGUCUGGGCUUCACGUUUCCUGAAUUAACUCUGUGGAACACGUUCUGUGAAAAAAAUCCCACCGUGACAGACCUGCUCACCAGCCAAGAGUGACCCAGGAGGGAAGGUAUUUCCAACAGUCUUGCACUUGAAGAUUUUUGCAUAAUGGCUGAUAAUAAAAAGAAUGCGCUGAAUCUGACUUACAGGAGAUAUGGGUGGGUCUAAUACUGCUGAAUCAAUAAAUUUGUAGCAAAUUUUACCAUGCAUACAGACACCGUAAUUCUUUCUUGUGUAUAAUAUUUUAAUUUUUCCCCCCUGAAUGUUUCUCAUCUCACCAUCUUUUCUUUCUGCUGACUUCUUUCUCUCUUUUAUAGGCAGAAACCAUGCUACCCUAUCAAAAUUUUUGGUGUAAUUUCUGAAUAUAUUUAAUGGAAUCUGCUGGUUAAAGUCCAACUUUGUUCCAUACAGCAUUAACAUUGCUAUACUGCAGAGGGUUGAGGAUAGUAUGAAAACAGUGGAGUUGUUGGGGUUUUUGCUCUCUUGUGCACUGAAUUUUAUGGAAUUGUUAUCUCUAGAUGCUUUCAAUUUAAAUUUUUAUAUUAAAAAAUGAGACCAUUCACAAACACACAUGAAAGAGGAUACUAGGGAAGAGCUUCUUGUGUAUUUUGUACAACUUCUAAAGAAAUGAAAAGUAACAACCACAAGUCUCUAAAGGACGGGGAUGGAUGGAAUGGAUGGAUGAAUGGAUGGAUGAAUGGCCAAAUAAACAGGGAAAGGAACAAUCAGUAGUUUGAAACAUGCUAAGAUAUUAAAGAUACUCUUUUAACUGUUAAUAUAUUUCAGUUACCUUUUCUGUUCUCUUCUAAUAACUAAAUCCAGAAGUCACACAAUUAGUCAUUAGAUCUGUUCAUGCUUUUAAUAUAUCGAAAACUGUAUUUUUAAAUCAAUAAAUACCUACAGGGAAAAGUUGGC